rnacentral:tRNA from 1 species
GACCGCGUAGCUCAGUUGGCAGAGCGUUGGGCUAGUAUUCCAAAGGUUGUAGGUUCGAUUCCCACCGUGGCCA